UCUUAUUAUUUUCAAUAGUUAGUAUCUGUGAUAGACCUGCUAUUUUGUAUCUGAUGUUGCUUCACAUUGAAUUGAUCUUAUUAUUUUCAGUAGUUAGCAAGAAAUUGGAAACAUGUGUCUAUGAUAAUUGUGAAAACAUCCAAAUUUGAUAUCAAUCUCUAUCACAAUCGUAGUUACAUUGUUAACCAUAAACAACGGGAGAUGGAACUAGUGCUAAGAAAUAAGAGAGUGAGAUACAUACAUAUAUAGUUAAGGAAGAUAUUCACAGAUGAUAACCUUCUUAGGUACCUGAUAGUAAGCUUGCUUGAUCAUUAGGUACCUUUUUUUAAUCAAGGAAGAUAUUCUUAGCCUUCCCUGCUUCCAGAAUCAAGAAAUUAUUGCAAUCAAGGCUCCAAAAGCUAGUUGCAUCGAGGUCCCUGAUCCUGAUGAGGAAUUAGGUUUUCGGCAAAGGCAGUACAAAAUGAUUGUUCGAAGUGCCAUUGGACCAAUAAAUUUGUAUCUCUUGAGCAAGGACGACCGCAAGUUUGAGGAUGAUAGUGCCAACCGGAUGAAAUUAAUGGAUCCAUCAUGGAAUAGUGAUUCCAUCAGAAAGAGGGGUGUGGGAUUAUUAGAAAGCCAACAUGAUGAAAAAAAUAUCCUUCUGAGCGUUUCAGUUUGCAGGGUUCACAAGCAUUUGGAAUUCAAGAAAUUACUCCCACGGAUUUUGAAAUGGAAGAUGACUAUUGGUUUCAAUCAGAUCCUGGAGUGAGCCAAAUAGAAUUGUAGGGUAGCAAUAUCUUCUAACCAAUCUUUAUUAUAUGAAUUUGAUUCUUGGAUUUCACCACUACACAAGAAUACAAGGUGACCAAUUUAAAGCUGAUAAUAAUGAAUGAUCUUUUUUGUC